rnacentral:lncRNA from 1 species
UAGCUAAAAUGGCAUAUCCCUAGAACUGGACCGCCUUCCAUUCGGAGACCUUACAAACUCCGCCUCGACGACCACUCUCUCACGGUACCUUCCGACUAAACGCCUCGUCUCGCUCAACAACUCGGCGGGCCCAAUUUACGCCGACGGGUCGUUGAUCAUCUCAGCACCAGCAGGUUCUUCGACCGGUAUCGGGUUCGAUUGGAAGCUUCAGCCCCAAGCUGCUUGGCGCCGCGAAACCCUAAG